UAUUUCUUUGAAGGAAAAAGGAGAAAGAAAUAUGUUUGCUCUAACAUGACGCAGAAAUCAAUGAUGAUGCUGUCUUAACUUGCUGAGCUUGGAGAAAGAGAAACGCUAGUAAAAUUUAAUACUCUGAAUCAUCAAAGGAUAAAUGGAAGAAAACAUCUUUAUAAAUGCUCACCAUGUUGGCCUGCGACAGCAGCUGGGCCCCUGCCAGAUCCUUCUGCUGGCAGCUUCCCUGAUUCCUGGACCAGAUGCGAAGUUAGCUCCAUGAAUGAAGGCACCAGCUUCACCUUCAUCCAGCCUGUCUGUUCUGACCCUGCUUCACAUCCUUCUUUUCCCAACUGCCUGUGGACUCAGGUGCCAGCAGCAGACACAGAAGCCAGUGUGCACUCUUACUUAGACCUCUUAACCAGCUCCCAGAGUAAAGUAAGUUUAAGUGCUUGUAAUUAAUAUAUAAUUAAUAAACAUAUAUUAAUAAA